GUCCUAUAAACUGAGUGGUAAAGCGCUUGGCUUCUGAACCAGAGGUCCCGGGUUUGAAUCCUGGUGAAGACU
rnacentral:tRNA from 1 species